GCUGGCGGCGUGCUUAACACAUGCAAGCGAACGGAGAUGUAGCAAUAGCAUCUAGUGGCGGACGGGUGAGUAACGCGUGGGCAACUUGCCUCUAACUGGGGGGAUAACGACAGGGAAACUUGUGCUAAUACCGCAUAACAUCACGAGAGGACAUCCUCUUGUGAUCAAAGGAGUAAUCCGGUGAGAGAUGGGCCCGCGUCCGAUUAGCUAGUUGGCGGUGUAAUGGACCACCAAGGCGACGAUCGGUAGCCGAACUGAGAGGUUGAUCGGCCACAUUGGGACUGAGACACGGCCCAGACUCCUACGGGAGGCAGCAGUGGGGAAUAUUGCACAAUGGGGGAAACCCUGAUGCAGCAACGCCGCGUGAAGGAUGAAGGUUUUCGGAUUGUAAACUUCUUUGAUGAGGGACGAAUAAUGACGGUACCUCAAAAACAAGCCACGGCUAACUACGUGCCAGCCGCAGC
rnacentral:rRNA from 1 species